UACGUAGGGUGCGAGCGUUGUCCGGAAUUACUGGGCGUAAAGAGCUCGUAGGUGGUUUGUUGCGUCCGCUGUGAAAACUCGGGGCUUAACCCCGAGCCUGCAGUGGAUACGGGCAGACUAGAGGUAGGUAGGGGAGAAUGGAAUUCCCGGUGUAGCGGUGAAAUGCGCAGAUAUCGGGAGGAACACCGGUGGCGAAGGCGGUUCUCUGGGCCUUACCUGACGCUGAGGAGCGAAAGCGUGGGGAGCGAACAGG
rnacentral:rRNA from 1 species